UGAUGACGAGACGCUAAGGCGUUGAAGCAGUGUAUGUCAGACUUCCAAGAAAAGCUCGCAAUGUCACAAAUAAAAUGCCUGUACCAUAACCGACACAGGUGGGUAGGUAGAGUAUACUAAGGGGCGCGAGAUAACUCUCUCUAAGGAACUCGGCAAAAUGACUCCGUAACUUCGGGAGAAGGAGUGCCUUAUUUAUAAGGUUGCAAUAACAAGAUCCAAGCAACUGUUUAUCAAAAACACAGGUCUCCGCUAAGUCGUAAGACGAUGUAUGGGGGCUGACGCCUGCCCAGUGCCAGAAGGUUAAAGAAGUUGGUUAGUGUAUGCGAAGCUGAUGACUGAAGCCCUGGUGAACGGCGGCCGUAACUAUAACGGUCCUAAGGUAGCGAAAUUCCUUGUCGGGUAAGUUCCGACCCGCACGAAAGGCGUAAUGAUUUGGAUACUGUCUCGGAGAGAGGCUCGGUGAAAUAGACUUGUCUGUGAAGAUGCGGACUACCUGCACCAGGACAGAAAGACCCUAUGAAGCUUUACUGUAACUUGAAAUUGGAAUUGGACUUUGCUUGCGCAGUAUAGGUGGGAAGCGUUGAAAAUAUUCUUGCGGGAGUAUUGGAGCUAUCAGUGAGAUACCACUCUUGUAAUGUUAGAUUUCUAACUUUGAACCAUAAUCUAGUCAAAGAACAGUUUCAGGUGGGCAGUUUGACUGGGGCGGUCGCCUCCCAAAUGGUAACGGAGGCGUACAAAGGUUUCCUCUGAACGGAUAGAAAUCGUAUCUAGAGUGUAAAGGCAUAAGGAAGCUUGACUGUGAGACCUACAAGUCGAGCAGGGACGAAAGUCGGUCUUAGUGAUCUGACGGUACUGAGUGGAAAGGCCGUCACUCAACGGAUAAAAGUUACUCUAAGGAUAACAGGCUGAUCUCCCCCAAGAGUUCACAUCGACGGGGAGGUUUGGCACCUCGAUGUCGGCUCAUCGCAUCCUGGGGCGGUAGUACGUCCCAAGGGUUGGGCUGUUCGCCCAUGAAAGCGGUACGCGAGCUGGGUUCAGAACGUCGUGAGACAGUUCGGUCCAUAUCCGGUGUAGGCGCUAGAAUAUUGAGAGGAGCCUUCUUUAGUACGAGAGGACCGAGAAGGACACACCGCUGGUGUACCAGUUAUCGUGCCAACGGUAAACGCUGGGUAGCUAUGUGUGGAGUGGAUAACCGCUGAAAGCAUCUAAGUGGGAAGCCCACCUCGAGAUGAGUAUUC
rnacentral:rRNA from 1 species